UUUUAUUCCUUUACUUUCUUAACAAACUUGCUUUCACUUUAUGGACUCACCCUGAAUUCUUUCUUGCACAAGAUCCAAGAACCUUUUCUUGGGUUCUGGAUCAGGACCCCUUUCCAGUAACAGUUCUAACUCAAAAUAGAGCUUGUCUGAGGUAGUCACAUAUUCUGGGCAUCACAGAGUCUAAUAAUGUUUGUGAGUAAUAACAAUAGUUGCAUAUGCUGAGAUAAAAGUAAUCAAAUCUCAUCCUCUAUGAUGGAAAUCCGUAGCUGCACUGUGCAGGAUUGUGCUUCAGGGGUCUAAAAAUUUCACCCUAACUGUAUGCAGAAUACUAAUACUUGAUUAGAGCUCUCUUUCUAUCAAAUGUAGGUAGUUCUAAUGGGAAUAGUUGCCCAACAUAUAAUACAAUCCUACUUAAUCAGCACCCCCCGGCCCCUGUUUAAAAUCUGGAACAUUUAUAUAUGUGUGUGUGUGUAUCCAUCCAGGUUCAUUUAAGUAUUAUAGUCACACUGUCAGAAUUAUUCUGAUUUCUUUAAAAUUUUAAUUGGCUGAGUUUCUUAGUGAAUCAUAGCUAGAUGAGG
rnacentral:lncRNA from 1 species